rfam:Danio rerio chromosome 4, GRCz11 reference primary assembly.
CCAUUGGUGGUUCAGUGGUAGAAUUCUCGCCUGCCACGUGGGAGACCCGCGUCCGGUUCCCGGCCAAUGCA